GGUUUCUCUGUGUAGCCUUGGCUGUCCUGGAACUCACUCUGUAGACCAGGCUGGCCUUGAACUCAGAAAUCCACCUGUCUCUGCCUCCCAAGUGCUGGGAUUAAAGGCAUGUGCCACCACUGCCCG
ensembl:miRNA Gm44453 predicted gene, 44453